AGGAUCAUUAUUGAAUGAACUUGGUGUGGUUGUUGCUGGCCCCUCUCGGGGCAUGUGCACACCUGCCAUUCUCAUCUCUCCACCUGUGCACCUAUUGUAGACCUGGAUAGACUUUCCGAGGCAACUCGGUCGGGAGGAAUGCUGCAUCAGCUUUCUUUGCGCUUCCAGGCCUAUGUUUUUCAUAUACCCGUAGUAUGUAACAGAAUGUAUCAUUGGGCUUCAAUGCCUAUAAACCUUAUACAACUUUCAGCAACGGAUCUCUUGGCUCUCGCAUCGAUGAAGAACGCAGCGAAAUGCGAUAAGUAAUGUGAAUUGCAGAAUUCAGUGAAUCAUCGAAUCUUUGAACGCACCUUGCGCUCCUUGGUAUUCCGAGGAGCAUGCCUGUUUGAGUGUCAUUUAAUUCUCAACCUUAUUAGCUUUGCUGAUAAUGGCUUGGACAUGGGGGUUUUCUUUUGCCGGCUUCUUCACCGAAGGGUCAGCUCCCCUUAAAUUCAUUAGCUGGUGCCCCACCUGGACUGUCUAUUUGGUGUGAUAAUUAUCUACGCCGUGGAUGUCUUCAAAGGGUUCGCAUUGCUUCUAAUAGUCUGUUCAUUCGGACAAUACAUGACAAUUUGACCUCAAA
rnacentral:rRNA from 1 species